GCUGGCCGGUCCCAGAUGUGGUGGUUGAGGUAGACGAGUAGCGACGCCGAGACGGGCGCCAAGAUGCUCAUGGCAGUUUCUGGCGCAGCUAGCCAAACGCAAUUAUCCGCACUCGCUUUCUGUGCACUAGUGGUGGUGGCGGCCGUGUCCUUGUCGGCUCGCUCGGCAGUCCGUCGUCCCCGCUCAAAUUGGAAGCUUUCCGGUGGUUACGCGGUACGGGCGGGGCGGCGGCGUCAUAUCUCUUUUCGAGGCACGACGAGGCGGUUGGAGGCUUGGAGCGUGUGAUUUGCAAGAGGACAGGACAGGACAGGAGAACGCCCAAGUUGAGGUUUGAGCGGCACACGUCGAUGAGAUUUUCUAGAAAUUCUGUUGAGGCAGUUAGCUGCUGGUGUCCAAUGCAGGUACCUUCUCAAACAGUGCCGUCCCAUCUAGCCACUCUAUGUCUUGAAUUUUUGUAUGAUUAGAGUAUCUAGCUGCAGUAUGAUAAACUUAGUUACUUAAAAUCUACAUCACUAAACAGUAAGCGGUUUUGAUUCUAGAAACUAAUUUUUGGUCCCUCUAUUUUAUUCUAUCAAUGGAGGAUGGCUGGCGGUCGAGACUGAAACCACGACGGCGGAGUGAACCAGCGAGGUAUAGUGUCACCGCACCUCGUCCUCGUCUUUGGUACCAUACUGCAGCUGGAGCUUAUUUUCGUUUCCUUGCAACUUCCGCAAGCUCUCCGUCCGGUGGGUGGGUGCCGAUGCCUGUACUCCCCGGGCUUCAUGUCGAUUCAGGCGCUUGAGCUUGCUUUCCCGAACACAAAUGUUCAGUUUGCUAAUUACCUGGUUCGUUGUUUCUGUACAAAUAGAGUUUGGGUGAAGUCUGUUCACCAUGACACUCAGUUAUGGUAUUUGUGCCUUUUGACUAUUGGUUUGUUUGGUGUGAGAGUUGUAUUAUGAUGAAUACACAAUGUGAAGUUACAUAUUUGAUUCUGAGAAGCUUUAAUGUUGUAAAUAGCAAGUAUGUCCUUUUUACCAUUUUUGCCAGUAUUCAAGGAACCAUCAGAUCAGUGUGAAUGAGUUGUAUACGUAGGGAGUAAUCUGUAGAUUG
rnacentral:lncRNA from 1 species